AGCAGCCGCGGUAAUUCCAGCUCCAAUAGCGUAUAUUAAAGUUGUUGCAGUUAAAAAGCUCGUAGUUGAAUUUCGGGAUCAGCAGGUUGGUCGUGCCUCUGGUAUGCACUGGUUUCGCUGAUUCCUCCUUUCUGAAGAACUGUAAUGUCAUUAAUUUGGUGUUGCAGGGAAACAGGACUGUUACUUUGAAAAAAUUAGAGUGUUUAAAGCAGGCUACCGCUUGAAUACAUUAGCAUGGAAUAAUGAAAUAGGACGUUUGAUCCUAUUUUGUUGGUUUCUAGGAUUGACGUAAUGAUUAAUAGGGAUAGUUGGGGGCAUUAGUAUUCAAUUGUCAGAGGUGAAAUUCUUGGAUUUAUUGAAGACUAACUACUGCGAAAGCAUUUGCCAAGGAUGUUUUCAUUAAUCAAGAACGAAAGUUAGGGGAUCGAAGACGAUCAGGUACCGUCGUAGUCUUAACCAUAAACUAUGCCGACUAGGGAUAGGGUGAUGUUAAUUUUUUAAUGACUCA
rnacentral:rRNA from 1 species